GGGUCGGUGCUCGAGUGGUUAAAGGGGGUGGAUUGUAAAUCCACUGGCAAUUGUCUUCACUGGUUCAAAUCCAGUUCGGCCCA
rnacentral:tRNA from 1 species